CAGACACAUAGAUCAGCAGAUGUUACAGCAGCUACAGCGAAAUGCUUGUGUUUCUAUAUCAACACAAUGCAAUACCAAUACGCAAAUUAAAGUGUGGCUGCUUUUGCAAGCCAUACUAAUGAUCCAGAAAGUCCAAAAUAAGAAAGACGUGCGACCCCUAGUCAUGCGACCCCCUAGUCAUGUAUCCAAAAUGAAGUAGCUUUACUAAAAUUGCAUAGGCCAACACAGUACUGUAAUAACUGCCAAUUACGUAGCAGACACUUUUAUACAAAAUGAUAACAGUCCACACAUCUUGGUAUGUGACCCCAGUGGGAAUCGAACCCACAAAUCUGGUGUUGCUACUGCCAUGCUCUUACGAACUGAGCCACGUACAGGACCCCUACAAUACAUAUGUACGAUACAAUACUGUAAAAUACAAUACACAAUUACAAUACAGGUGGACGUAGCCGCGAGAAGUAGGAGUGCAGAGGGUGCUACAGCAACCACAGAUAAAUAAAUUAAUAUGAAGGGGAAAAAAAUGAAAAACAAAUGUUCAUGUGAAAACAAAAGAGACACGUGAGGUCAGUUGUUCACAUGUGAAACCAUAUGUUCACAUGUAUUUAAUAUAGAGUUCACAUGUUAACACCAACGUUUCAGAUGUGAGGAGGAUAACAUGUUUUCACGUCACGUGAAUUGCAGAUUCACAUGUGAAAUUUGCCAUUUUACAUGUGAAAACCUAACUCUCACAUGUGUAUUUGCAGUUUCACAUGUGGAAAAAUGUCACAUGAAAAUCUAACUCUUACAUGUGGAAUUGCAUUUUCACAUGUGAAAAAUGUUUAAAUGUUGUCACGUGUAGUGUCACAUGUUGAUAUUUUGCAUCCCCAUGUUGUUUUCGUAAGGGACAGUAGCCUAGCGUAAACUGUAGGGUACAAGGGGGUAACUAGCCCCCUGGGGUAACUGCCCCCCCCCCGUAAUUCACAUUAACAACACCAAAUUAUUUUUCCAACACGCCCUGGCUGCCACUGCUCUUGCUCAACAAAACAUUUCCUCUGUGCCAUCACAACUUUUGGAGAUAUUUAAACAAAACGGUUUUGUGGUAAGUCGAUCUAAUUUCUUGAAAAUUAGAAAUAAAUGUAGAUAUAUUCCAAUGAAGUUAGAUCUAUAUAUAGUACCAGUCAAAAGUUGGGACCCACCUACUCAUUCAAGGGUUUUUCUUUAUUUUUACUAUUUUCUACAUUGUAGAAUAAUAAAUCAAAUCAAAUUUUAUUUGUCACAUACACAUGGUUAGCAGAUGUUAAUGGGAGUGUAGCGAAAUGCUUGUGCUUCUAGUUCCGACCAUGCAGUAAUAUCUAACAAGCAAUCUAACCUAACAAUUUCACAACAACUACCUUAUACACACAAGUGUAAAGGAAUGAAUAAGAAUAUGUACAUAAAAAUAUAUGAAUGAGUGAUGGCCGAACGGCAUAGGCAAGAUGCAGUAGAUGGUAUAGAGUAUAGUAUAUACAUAUGAGAUGAGUAAUGUAGGGUAUGUAAACAUUAUAUAAAGUGCCAUUGUUUAAAGUGGCUAGUGAUACAUUUAUUACAUCAAUUUUCCCAUUAUUAAAGUGGAUAGAGUGAGUCAGUAUGUUGGCAGCAGCCACUCAAUGUUAAUGAUGGCUGUUUAACAGUCUGAUGGCCUUGAGAUAGAAGCUGUUUUUCAGUCUCUCGGUCCCCGCUUUGAUGCAUCUGUACUGACCUUGUUUUCUGGAUGAUAGCGGGGUGAACAGGCAGUGACACCGGGUGGUGUAGGUGUCCUGGAGGGCAGGUAGUUUGCACCCGGUGAUGCGUGGUGCAGACCUCACUACCCUCUGGAGAGCCUUGUGGUUGUGGGCUGAGCAGUUGCCGUACCAGGCGGUGAUACAGCCUGACAGGAUGCUCUCGAUUGUGCAUCUGUAAAAGUUUGUGAGUGUUUUUGGUGACAAGCCGAAUUUCUUCAGCCUCCUGAGGUUGAAGAGGCGCUGCUGCGCUUUCUUCACCAUGCUGUCUGUGUGGGUGGAACAUUUCAGUUUGUCCGUGAUGUGUACGCCGAGGAACUUAAAACUUUCCACCCUCUCCAUUACUGUCCCGACGAUGUGGAUAGGGGGCUACUCCCUCUGCUGUUUCCUGAAGUCCACGAUCAUCUCCUUUGUUUUGUUGACAUUGAGUGUGAGGUUAUUUUCCUGACACCAUACUCCGAGGGCCCUCACCUCCUCUCUGUAGGCCGUCUCGUCGUUGUUGGUAAUCAAGCACACCACUGUAGUGUCGUUACAAACUCGAUGAUUGAGUUGGAGGUGUGCAUGGCCACGCAGGCAUGGGUGAACAGGGAGUACAGGAGAGGGCUGAGAACGCACCCUUGUGGGGCCCCAGUGUUGAGGAUCAGCGGGAUGGAGAUGUUGUUACCUACCCUCACCACCUGGGGGCGGCCCGUCAGGAAGUCCAGGACCCAGUUGCACAGGGCGGGGUCGAGACCCAGGGUCUCGAGCUUAAUGACGGGUUUGGAGGGUACUAUGGUGUUAAAUGCUGAGCUGUAGUCGAUGAACAGCAUACUUACAUAGGUAUUCCUCUUGUCCAGGUGGGUUAGUGAAGACAUCAAAACUAUGAAAUAACACAUGGAAUCAUGUACAGUUGAAGUCGGAAGUUUACAUACACCUUUGCCAAAAACAUUUAAACUCAGUUAUUCACAAUUCCUGACAUUUCAUCCUAGUAAACAUUCCCUGUCUUAGGUCAGUUAGGAUCCCCACUUUAUUUUAAGAAUGUGAAAUAUCAGAAUAAUAGUAGAAAGAAUUAUUUAUUUCAGCUUUUAUUUCUUUCAUCACAUUCCCAGUUGGUCAGAAGUUUACAUACACUCAAUUAGGAUUUGGUAGCAUUGCCUUUAAAUUGUUUAACUUGGGUCAAACGUUUCAGGUAGCCUUCCACAAGCUUCCCACAAUAAGUUGGGUGAAUUUUGGCCCAUUCCUCCUGACAGAACUGGUGUAACUGAGUCAGGUUUGUAGGCCUCCUUGCUCGCACACACUUUUUCAGUUCUGCCCACAAAUUUUCUAUAGGAUUGAGGUCAGGGCUUUGUGAUGGCCAUUCCAAUACCUUGACUUUGUUGUCCUUUUGACACAACUUUGGAAGUAUGCUUGGGGUCAUUGUCCAUUUAGAAGACCCAUUUGUGACCAAGCUUUCAACUUCCUGACUGAUGUCUUGAGAUGUUGCUUCAAUAUAUGCACAUAAUUUUCCUACCUCAUGAUGCCAUCUAUUUUGUGAAGUGCACCAGUCCCUCCUGCAGCAAAGCACCCCCACAACAUGAUGCUGCCACCCCCGUGCUUCACGGUUGGGAUGGUGUUCUUCGGCUUGCCAGCUUCCCCCUUUUUCCUCCAAACAUAGCGAUGGUCAUUAUGGCCAAACAGUUCUAUUGUUGUUUCAUCCGACCAGAGGAUUUUUCUCCAAAAAGUACGAUUUUUGUCCCCAUGUGCAGUUGCAAACCAUAGUCUGGCUUUUUUUAUGGCGGUUAUGGAGCAGUGGCUUCUUCCUUGCUGAGCGGCCUGUCAGGUUAUGUCGAUAUAGGACUCGUUUUACUGUGGAUAUAGAUACUUUUGUACCUGUUUCCUCCAGCAUCUUCACAAGGUCCUUUGCUGUUGUUCUGGGAUUGAUUUGUACUUUUCGUACCACGUACAUUCAUCUCUAGGAGACAGAACACGUAUCCUUCCUGAGUGGUAUGACAGCUGCGUGGUCCCAUGGUGUUUAUACUUGCGUAUUAUUGUUUGUACAGAUGAACGUGGUACCUUCAGGAGUUUGGAAAUUGCUCCCAAGAAUGAACCAGACAAUUUAUUUAUGAGGUCUUGGCUGAUUUCUUUAGAUUUUCCCAUGAUGUCAAGCAAAGAGUCACAGAAUUUGAAGGUAGGCCUUGAAAUACAUCCACAGGUACACCUCCAAUUGACUCAAAUGAUCUGUUAGCCUAUCAGAAGCUUCUAAAGCCAUGACAUCCUUUUCUGGAAUUUUCCAAACUGUUUAAAGGCACAGUCAACUUAGUGUAUGUAAACUUCUGACUCACUGGAAUUGUGACACAGUGAAUUAUAAGUGAAAUAAUCUGUCUGUAAAAAAUUGUUGGAAAAAUUACUUGUGUCAUGCACAAAGUAGAUGUCCUAACCGACUUGCCAAAACUAUAGUUUGUUAACAAGAAAUUUGUGGAGUGGUUUAAAAACGAGUUUUAAUGACUCCAACCUAAGUGUAUGUAAACUUCCGACUUCAACUGUAGUAACUAAAAAAGUGUUAAACAAAUCUAAAUAUAGUUUAUAUUUUAGAUUAUUCAAAGAAGCCACCCUUUGCCUUGAUGACAGCUUUGCACACUCUUGGCAUUCUCUCAACCAGCUUCAUGAGGAAUGCUUUUCCAACAGUCUUGAAGGAGUUUCCACAUAUGCUGAGCAUUUGUUGGCUGCUUUUCCUUCACUCUGCGGUCCAACUCAUCCCAACCAUCUCAAUUGGAUUGAGGUUGGGUGAUUGUGGAGGCCAGGUCAUCUGAGGCUGCACUUCAUCACUCUCCUUCUUGGUCAAAUAGCCCUUACAAAGCCUGGAGGUGUGUUUUGGGUCAUUGUUCUGUUGAAAAACAAAUGAUUUUCCCACUAAGCGCAAACUAAAUUGGAUGGUGUAUCACUGCAGAAUGCUGUGGUAGCCGUGCUGGUUAAGUGUGCCUUGAAUUCUAAAUAAAUCACUGACAGUGUCAUCAGCAAAGCACCUCCACACCAUCUCACCUCCUCCUGCAUGCUACAUGGUGCGAACCACACAUGCAGAGAUCAUCUGUUCACCUACUCUGCAUCUCACAAAGACACCGCGGUUGGAACCAAAAAUCUCAAAGGACAGAUUUCCACCAGUCUAAUGUCCAUUGCUCGUGUUUCUUGGCCCAAACAAGUCUCUUCUUAUUAUUGGUGUCCUUUGGUAGCGGUUUCUUUGCAGCAAUUCGACUAUGUAGCCCUGAAUCACACAGUCUCCUCUGAUGUUGAGAUGUGUCUGUUACUUGAACUCUGUGAAGCAUUUAUUUGGGCUGCAAUUUCUGAGGCUGGUAACUGUAAUGAACUUAUCCUCUGCAGCAGAGGUAAGUCUGGGUCUUCCUUUCCUGUGGUGGUCCUCAUGAGAGCCAGUUUCAUCAUAGCGCUUGAUGGUUUUUGCGACUGCACUUGAAGAAACCAAAGUUCAUGAGAUUUUCCAGAUUGACUUAAAGUAAUGAUGGAUUGUCGUUUCUCUUUGCUUAUUUGAGCUGUUCUUGCCAUAAUAUGGACUUGGUCUUCUACCAAAUAGGGCCAUCUUAUGUAUACCAACCUUACCUUGUCACAACACAACUGAUUGGCUCAAACACAUUAAAAAGGAAAGAAAUUCCACAAAUUAACUUUUAACAAGGCACACCUGUUAAUUGAAAUGCAUUCCAAGUGACUACCUCAUGAACCUGGUUGAGAGAGUGUGCAAAGCUGUCAUCAAGCAAAGGAUGGCUACUUUAAAGAAUCUCAAAUAUUUAUUUUGGUUUGUUUAACACUUUUUUGUUUACUACAUGAUUCCAUAUGUGCUAUUUCAUAGUUUUGAUGUCUUCACUAUUAUUCUACGCCAGCCAGCAAGUUAGUUAGCAUGAGCUGCUAGGAGUGCUAACUAGCAACCUUACUACUAGAUCAUCUGAGGUAAAAUACAUAAAAAAAGAUAACGUGACUUAAUUGCAGUUGUUAAUGUUUCCACUAGUGACUGAUAGCUUUACAGUUAAUGUUACUUUAUAGCCUUUUAGCUAUUUUACGCAGCAAUUUUAUGUCAUAUAGCUAAAUAGCUAGCUACGUUUUUAAGAGAGAGCUUUCAAUUGGCAUCUCACCCCCUGUUUUCAGUCACAGGUGGGGACUGAAUUAGGUGUGAGCAGUGCAGGAGGUGGUCUCAUGAGUUGUGCUCCAAUUUUACCGGGGAUAGCUUUAUUUGUGACCUAUGUACAAAUUAGAAUUGAGCAAUAGCAGAGCAUAAGAGAGUUGCCACAUCAAUGUUAGACUGAAAUAAUAAGUUAAGUUACGAGUUAUUCUUAUUAAUGGUUAUAUUCCAAUGUUAUUUAAUGUUAUUAGAUAUAUUCCAUUCCAAUAUUCCAAUUAAUAUUUUUUUUAUGAACUAAAAACAAGUAUUGAAAACCUUUUGCUCCUGAAUGUCAUUUUAAAGACAGCUGAGAUAAAACAUAUUGCAAUAUUCAAAUAAUAUUUUGUGCAAUUGUACAUAAUGGAUUGUAUUGAAAAGGAACAACAAAGAAAGAACAAAGGAAAUUAAUGUGCAGGUGAGUUAAAAAGAGGGACUUUACAUCAUAUCUGCUCAUAGUGCGUAUAUUAAUUGUGACAUGUGCAACAACAUUUCCCCCCAUAUUUUAUUUAAAUAAUUAAAAUAAGACAACUAGACUUAGCUUUUAAGUAUUACUUACUAAAUCAUUUCUUAAUAUAAUGGAUUCAAUUUAUUUUAACACACUUGCGUGAAACCCUAUCCCAUAAUCUUCUACUGGGGUAACUUUUUUUUAGAAAAGCCCCUUUUCAGAAAAAUCUUGGGGGGGGGGGGCUAGUUACCCCCUAGUACCCUAUAGCCUAGUAAUGCAAUUGAAAUUCACAUUGUGCACUUCUUCGAAUAAACCCUCCCAUUCACAUAAUUGUUAAAUAAUUAAACAAUAAAUGUACUUGAAAGUCAUGAUCAUGCCCAAAGCUAUAACUGCUGCUUUCAUCUUGAGCAGGCUUUGUCCAAUCUUGCCAUGUCAUGCCACGGUACAUUUCACCGAAAAACAGCUUAAAUCAAGUGUGUUGAACACAGUUCUACUAAGUGAGAUGCAAUAAGUACAUUAAGUAGAACAACCGUAACAAAUAUUGUUCCCCGCACCACGGUUGAUGCGGGUGCCUACCCAGCAUUGACGCGAAAGUCGGGGAGCCGAGCACAGUGUAUUGACCAGCAUGUUCAAGAAGCAGCCAGUGUUUCAGUGGGGGGAAAGGAUAAUGGGAGAAAGAUGAGAAGGAAAACAAUAGCAAAGCGCAUUUUCGACCUCGAAUAUGAAGAAGAGGAGGAGGAAGACCCCAAAUAUGAAGACUUUGGCAACACGACAUCGCACAGCCAGCCUCUAUGUGUACGUAAACGUUUUAACGGUUAUUUGUAGUGUGGUCGUCAUACAGUAACGAUAACUGCCCAUUCCGUGAGGGGCGAGUAUUUGUCGCUUACGAUUUAUGUCGCUAAUUACCCUACCCGGACUGUCUAUUACAGCACAGACUGCAGAAGAGAAGAAAGCACACACACCCGGUGAAUGAGAACGUAGAAGAGAAUCCACCAUGCAACAUCGCUCUCCAGAAGUUGAAAACAAGGGUUUGGGUCGACUAUUAAUAUAUCAUAUUUCUUUGCGACGAAAGUUUUCUCUAUUAUCUGUCGGGGUUGGCACGCGUCUGCUCAUUGUGGUGCCAUCAUAUUCGCAUGUUGACCGACCGACAUAAAUCCAGUUUGUACGUUAGUAAUAUAGGACCCCACCUCCUCACUUAAGGGGUUACAACUUGGAACCACAAGGUUGUAGUAGUCGUGGCACAGAGAGCAUUCACCUCUCAGCUGUGUUUUGUCCUAAUGGCGCUUAUGUGAGAGAGGGGCAUGAUGAGGGCAGCCAUUGAUCUCAAUGACGGAGAGGAGGAGAGCACAAGCCUUUGGCAAGGUACCAGUGUCUGACAACCCCAGUGUGGAACGCAUAGAGGAGGGUGACUUCAUGGCAGAGGGUCUUGGAGGCCUACAGUCACGUUCAAAGGCUGACCUGGUUGCCAUGGUGCUGAGCAUGCAGCGAGAGAUGGACAACAUGAGGGAGCAAAUCAGAUGCCUCACAGCGUGUGGAAAGUUGGCACGUAACCUGGAGGCCCUGAUUGAGAGGACGGAGGUGUGGUCGAGCAGCACGGACCGCAGAACUACAUCUCCCAGCAUGCCUGAGAUCCUGGUGAGGAGUGGUGCCAUGACAACGUCGGCCCUGCUGGCCUCUCCAGGGGUGCUGAACGGGUGCUGGGCAGCCAAACUAGAGCCCCUCCACCCCCACCAGAAUGGACAACCUCCUGGGUCUCAUGAGGGGGGUUCCCAGAUCAACGGACCACCUCUCUAUCAGGAGUUCAUCACUGCGGAGCUGCUUGACCGCUGUAACACGGGGACCACUGCCCAGAAGCUGACCAAUGACCUGCUCCGGGGCCUCUAUGAAAGGGACUGCCUGGCCUCUCACUCCAUCUCCGGCAUCGUCAACAACAAGAGGGGCCAACCCAAGCCUGCCCUGCCUGCAGACGAGAUCCAGGCAAUACUGAGGGCGGUGCAGCACUACUUCCCAGGGAAGACAGACUCGGAGAUCAAGGGCUACAUCCGCCAGAAGCUGCAGAACGAAGCCAAGCGGCUCCGCAAGAAGCCUCAUCUGGCCGUGAAGGUGGAGCCAGAGGCCGGGGCUGAGGGGGCGGAGACUACUUUCUACACCUAAGCGGUGUGGCCCCGCCGAACCCCACCCCCUGUUCCACCCAGGGAGUGAAGUGCCCCGCCUCUGUCCAGGUUAAAGUGCAAUUAUGGGAGGGAGACUCGCGUAAAAACUGCUGUGAGAGGGAACCAAAAUGGAGCAGCCUUAUCAACACCAGUCUAGUCUAUCUGUUUGUCUGUCCAUUCCCAGCCACGUCUCUGGGCUGGGGGAGAAAUAGGCUAGUGAGGGAGGAGUCUAUUUGUCUGACAACGUGAUCAUUCCAGGGGAAGUGUUAUGGACUCCAGUCUGAUCAAGACUAGUUACUGCUCAGGUGAAGUUAGAUGAUACUGUAGCUUAUUCUUCCUCUGCCCUCUGGCAUCGUUGUCAAGCCUCAGCCAGCUAGCCAGCCAGCAGUAGUAGGCCUAGUAGAUGGCAAGUGAUUUGUUACCAAGUUUAGUACUCUUGUUUCUGUGAAAGGGGUAGCAGUCAGUUGGUGCUCUAUAGAGAAGUCGUAACAGAAGUCCUGAACAGCAUAGCCGUCAGCGAAGCUGCGCUGCACUCUGUGUCACUUCAGUUUGAUUUACAGUAUUGUCAUUGACCUCGUGAAAUGAACCUAGCCUUAGUAUUGAAUUAAUUUCAAUUUUGCUGAAUAAAAAAAUGACUGUUUUUUUCCCAAAGCAUCAUUGUGCUUUUUUUAAAACAAUUUUUUAAACAUUAUUCUGUUAGAACUAGACGAAACUAGAACUGAUACUUUCGCGUCAUGCUAUCAUAGCAGCGAUACCCUCGAGACAUUUUAGAAAUGGUAUCUUGUAAAACAAACAAUUAUUUUCUAAUGAUUACUCUUUACGUUGUAUGCUGCAUCAAAAUGAACCCCUAAUUAUUACCUAACAAUUA
rnacentral:lncRNA from 1 species